CUAAAUUCAUAUCCUGUUUUAGAUGAGCUUAUCAUGGAGGCAAAAUUAUGAAUUAAAUAUUAUACUAUCUUAGACUAUCUUUGGUGAUUUUUAGCACUCCACAUUUAAUUUAGUCUUAUUUUAUACAACUUUUAAUGUAAAAACAUAUAGACUUAGUAAAAGUAUAUAAAAGAUUGAUGCAACAGUUAUUAGAAAUAUCCUAAACAUAAAAUAACAGAAGGCAUGAGAAAGCUGAUAGGGGCUAACAUGCUGGCACAUAUACUCAUGCAAACACUCUUAAAUCUUCCCCCUUCAUGCGCUGAGAGAGGUGCCUUUUAUGGAUAGUUGGAUGAGUUUGGUAUCAACUUCAAAAAUAGUUGUUUUACUAUAUAAAAUCUGUCUAAUCGCUCUUCUGAUUUCCUCUAACUCCUGGGGUAUACAUCCUACUAUUAUUUUUUUAGUGGGGGUGGGGGUUUAUGUUUGAAAGCUCUUAGGACAGAAUUGUUUACCCCCAAAUUCCUAUGUUGAAGCCCUAACAGACAACGUGACUGUUUUGGAGACAGGGACUUUACAGAGGUAAUUAAGGCUCACUGAGGCUAUAAGGGUGGGGCUCUACUCCGUUAGAACUGGUGUUAUUAUAAGAAAAGGAGGAGACACUAGGAAAGCAUGCACACAGAAGAAAGGCCAUGGGAGGACACAGAGAAGGCACUGUCUGCAAAUCGAAGAGAGAAGUCUCUCAUCAGAAACCAACCCCAUCUGCACCUUGAUCUUGGACUUCCAGCCUCCAGAACGGAGAAGAGAAAAUCCAAAUAAGAGGCACCAAUGCCAACUCACACAUCUCUGCUGCGUCGAACUUCAUCCUGCUCUUUGGACUGGCGGCGGCGCUGUCUGGCAGAUGUGGAAGAAGACGCUGAUGAUGUUCCAGACUCUGAGUCCUCUGAACUUUGGCCUCCAGGGCCAUUAACAUCAAAAAGAUGCUGCUCUACUGCUGACCGGAUGGUUCUUUCUAAGAGUCUAAUAAAAAAAAAGAAUACAGAGUCACUCAGGUAAUCAAAUUUAUCAAUGAUUGUCUUUAAAAGUUUGUAUCUCUAAUUUUGGAAAAUCUGUAUUUCCAAUGGUAGAUCUACUAUAGUUUCAUGAACAGAGAUAGCGUAUGAGACAUCUCAAAAUAUCUGUAUCGUGUGUUAAAGAUAAAUCCCAACCUAACAAAUCCUACCAAUUUGAUAACCGUGUUUCUCAUCUCUGUAGGUCCAGGAUUACUGAAAUGCUCACAGCAAGUCUAGCAACAGUUAUCAGAGGCCAUCAGGAAAUAAGGGUCAUUUAUAUAAGGCAGAAUGAGGAAAUAUUUUUUUUUCCUCAUAGAAUAAGAAUAGACCUAUUCUUAUAAGGGUGAGUUCCUCCAGAUGUCAUACCAGUUCUUUAGAGGAAGGCAGUAUGGUUUGUGAAGCAAACUGGCACAAAUAAUUUUAUGAUGGCUAUUAUCUAUUUAGAAUCCCUUUAAGAUAAAAUUAUGCAGGGAAUAAUGCUAUUAAAAAGGAAUACCUCACGAGAACAAUUACUACUUAGAAUAGCAAAAUCUUUCUGAACCUCCAUUAAAUUAAAUUGUGAUGUAUACAGUUGAAGCUGCAUUCAUGCAAACAUCCCAAUACUCAUUACUGAAGAUGGUAGGAUAGAUUUCCGUUGUCCAACAAGAAGAAAUACUUCAGUACAGGGGCUAAAAAGAGUGCAUGAUGGGAUAGAUAAGGUAUCCUUUCUAAAGCUGUAUAAUUUUUCAAUGUGUCCAACCUUCUUUUAUCACCACACUAUUUAAUUCUAAAUAGGUGGCAUGGAAAAUUCUAAACAUAUUCUCCUCAAACCACAUUUUUCUGCACUUGAAAAAAGAAUCACAUCCAAACUCAUCAAAUGGUACACAUUAAGUAUGUAUAGUUUUUUGUGUCUCAAUAAAGCUAU